rnacentral:rRNA from 1 species
UGGGGAAUAUUGCGCAAUGGGCGAAAGCCUGACCCAGCAACGCCGCGUGAAGGAUGAAGUAUUUCGGUAUGUAAACUUCGAAAGAAUAGGAAGAAUAAAUGACGGUACUAUUUAUAAGGUCCGGCUAACUACGUGCCAGCAGCCGCGGUAAUACGUAGGGACCAAGCGUUGUUCGGAUUUACUGGGCGUAAAGGGCGCGUAGGCGGCAAUUCAAGUCAUCUGUGAAAUCUCCGGGCUUAACUCGGAACGGUCAGAUGAUACUGCUUUGCUAGAGUGCAGAAGGGGCAAUCGGAAUUCUUGGUGUAGCGGUGAAAUGCGUAGAUAUCAAGAGGAACACCUGAGGUGAAGACGGGUUGCUGGGCUGACACUGACGCUGAGGCGCGAAAGCCAGGGGAGCAAACGGGAUUAGAUACCCGCGUAGUCCCUGAGCGGGCUGGCAAGGCGCAU